rnacentral:misc_RNA from 1 species
AAAAAAAUGUGCACACUGUAUCCAUAGCUAAUAUAGCAAUACACGGAAAGUGUGGCUAACAAGAACCUGAGAGCCUCGUCUCUCACGAACCUAGAAUUUCAGGCAACACAUAAUUGUAUCCAUCUCUCUGUGCCGUCGACUUCGAGCGUGGAGAGAAGCGGGCAUGGUGGUCUCCAGUUCGCUGUCAAUACUUCCAUCAGCAUGUUCAUUUCCUUCAACUUCUAGCAUCGACUCAUCUUCUAGCAUCGAAGAUGGCUCCACGGAGAAGUUUUUCCAUAACAAUUCUAUUGCGGAUUUUGUGAGGUUCGAGAGGGGUUCCCAUAGAACCAGCGGCGAGUUGCAGACUGCUGUUGUUAGUUACAGAAAGAGGUUUCUUUGGCCUAUUCUUCGGGUUCCAUGCUUGUGAAUUUGUAUUUAUUAUUUUUUGUACAAAUCGUUUUAUUUAUUUAUUGUAUUAUGUAUGCGGGCAAUAAUGGUCUUGCAGCUUUUGCUUGUUUUUGGAUUGGUUUAGGUUGAUUUGGUUUCAACCAUUCACAUUGCUGAUAAAGAGUACGUUUUUCUUUCCCUCAAUUUGGGUUUCUUUAAUAUUUUGUAUUGUGACUUGUUUGGUUGAAUUUGGGAUUUGAUGAGACAUUGGAUUAUAUUUGAUCUCAUUCCCUCUUCAUCUUUUGUAAUAAGUUGGUGAUUUGCUCAUCCAUUUGCCUAGGAGAUGUUUUUCUCCCUACCAUGCGAGUUUGAAUGAUUUGAAUUCUUAUUUGUAGUUACUUCACCACCCUCCAGAAGGAACUUGAGCCCUAUGAUUGUGUCCUAUAUCAGAUGGUAGCUAGCAGGUAUAGUUUAGAGAAUAGAAGAAAUCCUGCUACUAAUCGCGCAAGAGGAUUUAACAUUCUAGGGUGCAUUCAAAGAUAGAUGGCUCGGAUCCUUAUGCUUGAUUUCCAUUUAGACUAUCUCGAUUACCGGGCAGAGAAUUGUUAUCACGCAGAUCUUGACUAUGAGACCUUCAAGCUACUUCAGGUUACAUUUACAGUUCGUUCAUUUUAAGUUGAUGAAAUGCUGGAGAAUAUAAAUUGUGAAGAUUGUUGAAUUGAAUUUAUGUUGGUCCCUUUCUUAUGUUGCCAAUUUCUACUUCUUUGCUGGGUAUCACUAAAGAAUGCCAAAUCUUUUCUAUUCUGGUCAAAGUUGUGUCGUUGUUCUUGAUAUUUGCUGCAAAUGUUAUCUUCAUUACCAACAAAUUUGAAGAACAAGUCAUUGAAAAAAAUUACAGAAAAUGUUAUCUCCCAAAUAGUUUUUCAAGAACUUACAAUCUCCUUUCUUAGACAUCCUCAAAGAUUGCGUUGCUAAAAAGGUUUGUAAUAUCAUUUACUCAUUCAUUCAUGUUAGAGCUUUUUCGGAAACUCUUAAUCAAAAUGCGAACUUUUUUAAGUUUUCUAUUUAGAAAAUUCAUCAUUUUAAUAUGAUCAACAUGAAUUAAAAUAUAUAAUUGCAAUAAGAAAAUUUACUGCACAAUGUGUGGGCUAAUGUCAAGUUAAUAUAUACUAAAGGUGUGAAAUUUGAAGUGAGGGCUGAAAUUGCAAGUAGUGAUGAAUUCUAAAUUCAAUUUUGUUUUCAAUUUCUUUCAGCUUGAAAAAGGUGAAAGUUUCUUCUCAUUUGCGGGAGAUAUGACUAUCAGAUCAACAAAAGCCAUAGUGCAGCCAACAAUUCCAGAAGAACUUGGUCCUUGGAGAUCUAAACUCCUAUGGGCUUCUUGUGAACUUCCUAUGCCACUUGUAGGACUUUUAAUUAUUCGAACUUUGAAGUGUUAGAGAUAUGGGAAGUCAAACAUCAGAAUAUCCAGAGAUAGAAGCCUUAUCCAGGCUUGACUUUGGUGCUGCAAUGAAGGUUUUCCUGGCAAAGCGACUAACAUCUGAGUAAUUGCUGUCCAAUUAUUAUAGUGAUUUUACAUAAUAAGAAUUUUGCCUAGCUUUGAGGUGUUACAUUACAUGUCUCUCAUGUCUGGAUUCUGUGGUAGAAUUUGGAAGUGGGAUUAGAAUUGGGUAGUUUUGGAUGGAAAUUUAUAGCAUGUCCAAGACCACGACUUCAUCAUUAAUUUCUCAAGCCAAUUCACUGUACUUUGAUCUUCUUAGGCCAUCAAAUUCAAAUUUUCAUGCUUUUGUGAGAAUAUCUGUUGAUCUGGGGAUUGACUGAAGGGGUAUCUGUGAAGGUUCACGCAGGUGACAACCUAUGUGGAAGAGAGAUCAGUCAUCAUUGGUGAGAGGAACAAGGCUGCAUGGAGGCCCUUAAAAGAGCAAUUGACAACGGCCGCAACAAGAUUGCCAUAUUGUAUGGUGGAGGCACUUGCCAGACUUGGGAAAUCUAUUGCAAGAGGAGUUCGACUUGGUCCCUUCCCAAGUGCAGUGGAUAACAGCUUGGUCCAUAAAGAACCGAGAUUUAAAGAGCACCUCCUUCCCAUUUCUUACAAGGUUGGCCGAAGCUUUGGGUUGGCCAUUGAACCGCUACCAAACUCUGGCAUUGCUCAUAUUUUCCUCAAUCCUUGCAUUAGAUCUUUGGUUCUGGGAGCUGUUUUUUGGCACUACAGUGAACUGGAUCUCCCAGAUUGCUUAUCAAGUUGAUCAAUAUGCCCUUAAUGCACAUAUUAUGUGAUAGUUAUACCGUUAAUAUACGAACAAGGAGAAAAAAAGCAAAAUGCAAAAUCUUGUGUACAUAUUGUGAAACUGAUUGAACACUCACUGAUUUAUUUGUCUAAGCCAAAGAUGUCAAGACUCGAGUAAAUUUCUUUUAUUGGGAAUCACAUUGGCCCUUUUUCAGGACUUAUAGUUGAUGAUGGUAAAGCUAUAAUAAGCAUCAUCAUUCAUCAAGCAUGAAAACCAAGCUACGCAUUUGGUGGUUCCUAAUUCUGCUACUGUUUGAUCAAUAUGAAACAGAUUCUACAAGUCUACAACUGAUUUUACGAGGAUGGUGAAGUACCCUUCCUCCUUGGGUUGCCUGAAUACCUAAAAGACAAGAAAAUAAAAUGGAAUUACAGAAACCCCGUGAAAGCAAACAACUAGAGAAAUCGCAGACAAGAUGUGAAGGUGUUAACUUCUCUGAAGUUGCUCUUGAAUCUAACAGCAACGUAUUUCAGAUACCUCAUCCUUCCCGUUCCCGUAGUCUUCCUCCGGAUUGCCUUCACGCUCCAGUUAUCUAGCAAUUUCACAAACACUUAGAACACAAUAAAAUCCACUCCACACCACGCCAGACAGGAAAGAAAAGUUUACACUUUCUCAGACGAGCGGCGGGGUACCAGCAAGAACCGUAACGGCUCUUGUGCAGAUGAAAGCAGCGGGCCGGCACCUCACGCAGAGCUUAUGCGUUUUGUUCCUUCUUUUCCCAAAACUUCCCGUUCCUUUACCCUAUCCCCAAUAAAAAAAACCACCAGAUUUAGCUGCAGAAAAGAAAGGAAUAAGCAGCACAUUGAGAGAAGAACACAUCUAUGUUACCCUUCUCUUGGUAGUUGUACGCAGAGAAACCCUGGAGACUCUAGAGUGUUUUGGAGCAGGAGGGAAGUGAUUUUAUGGAGUGCUCCGCUCUCUUGGUGCUUGAUGAUCCAGGUGUAAAGCUCUGAACUUGUAGUAGCUGUGACACAUGUCAAGGAACUCAAGCUUCAGUUUGAUGACAUUGGAGCUGUUUUUUUUUU